rnacentral:tRNA from 1 species
GCGUCCUUAGCUCAGCCGGAUAGAGAACCAGACUACGAACCAGGCGGUCGGAGGUUCGAAUCCUCCAGGACGCGCCA